GACGAACGCUGGCGGCGUGCCUAAUACAUGCAAGUCGAGCGGAAGUUGGAGAGCUUGCUCUUCAACUUUAGCGGCGGACGGGUGAGUAACACGUGGGCAACCUGCCCUGCAGAUCGGGAUAACUCCGGGAAACCGGUGCUAAUACCGAAUAGUUUUCGCCACCUCCUGGUGGCGUACGGAAAGACGGUUUCGGCUGUCACUGCAGGAUGGGCCCGCGGCGCAUUAGCUAGUUGGUGGGGUAACGGCCCACCAAGGCAACGAUGCGUAGCCGACCUGAGAGGGUGAUCGGCCACACUGGGACUGAGACACGGCCCAGACUCCUACGGGAGGCAGCAGUAGGGAAUCUUCCGCAAUGGACGAAAGUCUGACGGAGCAACGCCGCGUGAGUGACGAAGGUUUUCGGAUCGUAAAACUCUGUUGUGAGGGAAGAACAAGUACCACGUAACUACUGGUACCUUGACGGUACCUCACCAGAAAGCCACGGCUAACUACGUGCCAGCAGCCGCGGUAAGAC
rnacentral:rRNA from 1 species